AUUGAACGCUGGCGGCAGGCCUAACACAUGCAAGUCGAGCUAGCGGCGGACGGGUGAGUAAUGUCUGGGGACUGCCCGAUAGAGGGGGAUAACUACUGGAAACGGUAGCUAAUACCGCAUACUAUCGGAUAACCCAUAUUGGAUUAGCUAGUAGGUGAGGUAAUGGCUCACCUAGGCGACGAUCCCUAGCUGGUCUGAGAGGAUGAUCAGCCACACUGGGACUGAGACACGGCACAGAGUCCUACGGAGGCAGCAGUGGGGAAAAUUGCACAAUGUGCGCAAGCCUGAUGCAGCCAUGCCGCGAGUAUGAAGAAGGCCCUAGGGUUGUAAAGUAAUUUCAGUCGGGAGGCGUUACCGACAGAAGAAGCAACGGCUAACUCCGUGCCAGCAGCCGCGGUAAUUC
rnacentral:rRNA from 1 species